rnacentral:snRNA from 1 species
UAAAACACUUUUAAACCCUUUAA